rnacentral:rRNA from 1 species
AAGCUUGCUUGUUGGGGUUGUAGGACACUCUAUACGGAGUUACAAAAGAACAUGUUAGACGAAUCAUCUGGAAAGAUGAAUCAAAGAAGGUAAUAAUCCUGUAGUCGAAAACAUAUUCUCUCUUGAGUGGAUCCUGAGUACGACGGAGCACGUGAAAUUCCGUCGGAAUCUGGGAGGACCAUCUCCUAAGGCUAAAUACUCUCUAGUGACCGAUAGUGAACCAGUACCGUGAGGGAAAGGUGAAAAGUACCCCGGAAGGGGAGUGAAAGAGAACUUGAAACCGUGUGCUUACAAGUAGUCAGAGCCCGUUAAUGGGUGAUGGCGUGCCUUUUGUAGAAUGAACCGGCGA